GAGAACUUUAGCUUUAUCUAGUAUGUUUUGGUUUUUUGGAAUUACCUUAAAAUGCAUUUGCAGUGCUUCUGUCAUUGAAAAGCUAAUUUAAUAACAAUCUCUCCUUUUGCCAAGCAGUAGAGAUCAGAACAGGACAAAUUCUUGUCCUUUCAUGUACCUCCAACUGACAUCAACUUGUAGAAACAGCACUGAAGAUGGUCUGAAUGGGAACUAUUACAACACUGGGAGAAAUAGAAGAUAAUCUUAUUAUCGGGGAAAUAGUUACUACAGCCACACCAGCGUACAAUAAUCUCAGGACUUCAGUGAAGCACAUGGAAUGGAUGACAUUGUCGUGGUCAUUCUUGGAAAUUACAGUCUGAAACUGAAGCAUAUGCAAAAUGCACCUGAAAAUUCAGACAUCUGUGCCUUGUAAGGAAAGGAGACACCACAGAUCACCCUUUGGGAGAUUGAAAAAAAAGAGCAAUAAAAAU
rnacentral:lncRNA from 1 species